UGCAGAGGUCCCAAGCGUUGUUCGGAUUCACUGGGCGUAAAGGGUGCGUAGGUGGUUGUGCAAGUCUGAUGUGAAAUCUCCGGGCUUAACCCGGAAAUGGCAUUGGAAACUGCAUAGCUAGAGGGUUGGAGGGGGGACUGGAAUACUUGGUGUAGCAGUGAAAUGCGUAGAUAUCAAGUGGAACACCAGUGGCGAAGGCGAGUCCCUGGACAACACCUGACACUGAGGCACGAAAGCUAGGGGAGCAAACAGG
rnacentral:rRNA from 1 species